rnacentral:rRNA from 1 species
UACGGGGGGGAGCAAGCGUUGUUCGGAUUUACUGGGCGUAAAGGGCGCGUAGGCGGCGUGACAAGUCACUUGUGAAAUCUCCGGGCUUAACUCGGAACGGUCAAGUGAUACUGUCGUGCUAGAGUACAGAAGGGGCAACUGGAAUUCUCGGUGUAGCGGUGAAAUGCGCAGAUAUCAGGAGGAACACCGGUGGCGAAGGCGGCAUCCUGGACCGACACUGACGCUGAUGAGCGAAAAGCUAGGGGAGCAAACGGG